GAGUUGGACCGGAUGGUCCUUGUGGGUCCCUUCCAGUUGCAGUUCAAUUCUGUGAUUCUGUAGUAACUGUGUCCCUCUCAGAUUUGGACACAGCAUUUGUUUGCUUUGCCUCUGGAGUGCACCUGACCCACCAGCCCAGGUGUCUGUACCAGCUUAAGAAUCGGAGGUGCUUCUUAUUUCUUAAGCUCCCUUCAUUAUCCGAAUCUCUUGUUUUCCCACUCCUUAACUUCACAUGCAUGACUCCUUUGCGUUUCCUCCCAGCAGGCAGCUGGGGGUUCAAGGAAAAGUGUUGGGUUGUCCUGGGCUUUAUAGGAUUACAGGAUCCCAGGCAGGAUUUCAUCCAAGAUCAUCAAAUAAAUGUAAAUUAAUGAAGCACCUGAAUUCUGAAGAAAUUGACCAGGAUGUGGGUAGAAAAGCUCUGUAGGCUGCAUUAAAAGCUGAAGCCACAUCUACGAUUCCUGAGUGUUCCGUCUCUUGUAGGUACACAGGUGCUUAUAGGGAUACAGGAUUUAUGUGAGGGUGCACUUUGCCAUGGCAUAUUAUAUAGAUCUUUGCUCACCAAAAUUGCAAAGUGUGCAAAGCAUUAUCUUAGGUGGCUGAGGAAGGCAUUAUAUAUUAUAUAUUCUGUCUCUUCAAAUUGGUAUCCAGAGUUGUCUCUUUGCUAAGUCUGUUUUUUUCUCCUAAUCAUUUCCUGAGGCUUGCAGGUGUAUAUCCUCCAGGAUGUGUUCGGAAGAUUUCAGCAAAAGAGAAAGAAGGAGCUUGGCUCAACCACCAGAGAAACCCUGCAGCCCACACCCAAGCAAUCCUGAGUCCUCCCUUCCCUGUGAGACCCGUGUGGAGUCUCCCAGGCAGGAAAACUCCCCUCAGAAGUGGAACACUGAGAACUCUCCCCAGACAGCCACAGAAUCAUCCUCGUGCCUGCUUCUGCCUUCUGAUUCAAUUACUCCUUUCAUUCGUUUGUGUGGGUGCCUUUUUUCAGCAGAGUGGAUCAGCUCCUGCAGCUGAGAUUCCCAUUCCACAUCACUGCAUUUACAGUCAGCAGUGAGGAAAGGGAUGCUUCAAAUUCCCGGAAGCUGACUCUGGAUCAUGUCUCUCUUAGUUUGGUGUCAGACCUCUGGGACAUUAUAUAAAUAGCCCGUGCAUCUUCCCACUGCAUUUUCUAAGUUCCUAGCAGCUGGCAGCGGGUUGGAGUUGGUCAUCCUGACUGGAAAACUGCUCCUUUUCUAUCCAGAAAAGGGCAUCUUGUUGUCUGAGAGAGUUUGAGUGCCUGAACACAUCUGGAACCCAGCACAGCGUGAGCAGGAGAAGGGCUGUUCCAUGCUACGCAAACCUGUGCAUAUGGCAUGAAAAACCCUGGUAAUAAUGGAAGGGAGCAGAACAGAGAGCUUGGAAGCUGCAGCACACUUUCCUUCAGCAGGGAACACAGUUCCAGCCUCCAGCACUGCAUUUUCACUGCAGCAGGCUGAGAAAAGUGCAGACCCUCCCCUGGCCUCAGCUCAGCUCUGGUACUGCCAGUGCUCUUGUUGCUUUUUUGGGUGCCAGCACCUUCUUGAGCUACAGCAGGUGCUGAGGUAAGAGAGGAAAAAGUGUCACAGUUGCACAGUAUAUUUUUUUUUUUAAAUCUUGAAUGCAGCUGUGUCAUUGACAGAGGUUCUUUAUCCCUACAGCCAACCUUUGGAUUCAGUCUAGUGGGGCAGAAAGGAUGCAGUGGGGUGUUACAUUGUUUUAAGUGUGCAAAUCAUCCCUCAAAGAUACAGGUUGGAGCUUCCCUGCUUCAGAUUGAGGUGUAUCUCAUGCUCUGAUUUCUUCUCCACAUGACAGCAGCUAGGGAGGAGGUCUAUUUUUAGCUUUUGUUUCUUGGUUUGUUUACAGGAAGUUCUUCAUUUGUGGGAGUGAGCUUGGGUCUGUCUCAGUCUGAGAAUCUGCUUCAGUGCCAGUUGUGGAUGUAGUUACAAGAGUGAAUUCCUGCUGUUGUCUGGGAGAGGCAUCAUUUAUCCCAGAUUCAGGAAGGCCACCUACCCUGUGGUCAUUUCUUCACACUUUCUGCUCCAGCUGUGAACUCUAGAAAUAAAUUACUGUAAGGGAAAGGUGGAAUAUGAACAAAGUCACACUACUGCACAGUUUUUGCAGAGGAGGAUAAACAAAGCUGAAGUGAGCUUCUCUCUCUGUUCAGUGUCUUUGUACAAGUCCUGGAGGUGGAGAUCUCCGAGCCUGGAUGUGUGAUAGUGUAGUGCCCCCUCAUGGGAAGCUGUUCCUGACACUGAUUCCUGGCUGCAUCCAGUUUGUCUUCUGGAAGGGAUGUGUGGAAUAGAAACAGUGAAGUUGUAAGACCAGAGAAGACAGAAGCCCAGAGGGGAAAAAGGUACUGAUGACAAAUUUCCCUGGAAGCUCAGACAUUAAUCCUUGGGAAAAGUGAGUGUCAGGAGCCUGGUUAGGGAGCCAUGGGGCCAUUUAUGGACAGCCUUUGCUGGAGAAAAUCCUCAUGGAACAAUAUCCCUACCAUUCCCUGCCCACAGCAGCAGUUGGUCAGGCACCAAGGAGCAUGUCAUAUGCAUCAGAAUGCUCCUGCUGGGAGGUGACUGACUUGAGCACUGAUGGCAAAGGUGGUGAAUCCAGAGACUCCGAGCCUGAGAAACUUCAGGAUCUUCUCAGGUUACAUUUCCAGAGAAAAGAACUGACUUUCUCUCCACGUGCAUUUGUAGCUGUGGUCACAACGGUGGAAGAUGCAGAUGAAACCCACAGUCACAUUGGCAGCUGCAUCCCAAAUUAGCCAAAGGAAAGCAAAUGCCUGAAGCUUAGGGCAGGAUGUGGCUGCCCUGAGGUAAGUCCUGAGUGUUUUCACAACAACCCACAUCCUCAGGACAGCUCUGACAGGUAACAUCAAGGCUAACCACGCCAGGGAACUUGGAUUCAAGGGUCCAGACCAAAUAUCAUC